AUUGAACGCUGGCGGAAUGCUUCACACAUGCAAGUCGAACGGCAGCACGGACUUCGGUCUGGUGGCGAGUGGCGAACGGGUGAGUAAUGUAUCGGAACGUGCCCAGUCGUGGGGGAUAACGUAGUGAAAAUUACGCUAAUACCGCAUACGAUCUAUGGAUGAAAGCGGGGGAUCGCAAGACCUCGCGCGAUGGGAGCGGCCGAUAUCAGAUUAGGUAGUUGGUGGGGUAAAGGCCCACCAAGCCAACGAUCUGUAGCUGGUCUGAGAGGACGACCAGCCACACUGGAACUGAGACACGGUCCAGACUCCUACGGGAGGCAGCAGUGGGGAAUUUUGGACAAUGGGCGAAAGCCUGAUCCAGCCAUUCCGCGUGCAGGAUGAAGGCCCUCGGGUUGUAAACUGCUUUUGUACAGAACGAAAAGGUUUCUACUAAUACUAGGAGCUCAUGACGGUACUGUAAGAAUAAGCACCGGCUAACUACGUGCCAGCCGCCGCUGUAA
rnacentral:rRNA from 1 species